GUGCUUGCUUCUGUAGCACAUUUACUAAAAUUAGAACAAUACAGAGAUUAGCAUGACGCUGCCUAGGCCUAACAUGCAAGUUUGAGAAGAGUGACCUAUUUUA